rnacentral:rRNA from 1 species
GUGUCAGCCGCCGCGGUAAUACGUAGGUGGCGAGCGUUGUCCGGAAUUAUUGGGCGUAAAGGGCGCGUAGGCGGAUUUGUAAGUCUGACUUAAAAGUGCAGGGCUCAACCCUGUGAGGGGUCAGAAACUAUGGAUCUUGAGUGCAGGAGAGGAAAGUGGAAUUCCCAGUGUAGCGGUGAAAUGCGUAGAUAUUGGGAGGAACACCAGUGGCGAAGGCGACUUUCUGGACUGUGUCUGACGCUGAGGCGCGAACGCCAGGGGAGUGAACGGGAUUAGAU